rnacentral:rRNA from 1 species
GGGAUAAGCCUGGGAAACUGGGUCUAAUACCGGAUAUGACCUUCCAUCGCAUGGUGGUUGGUGGAAAGCUUUUGUGGUUUUGGAUGGACUCGCGGCCUAUCAGCUUGUUGGUGGGGUAAUGGCCUACCAAGGCGACGACGGGUAGCCGGCCUGAGAGGGUGACCGGCCACACUGGGACUGAGACACGGCCCAGACUCCUACGGGAGGCAGCAGUGGGGAAUAUUGCACAAUGGGCGAAAGCCUGAUGCAGCGACGCCGCGUGAGGGAUGACGGCCUUCGGGUUGUAAACCUCUUUCAGUAGGGAAGAAGCGUAAGUGACGGUACCUGCAGAAGAAGCGCCGGCUAACUACGUGCCAGCAGCCGCGGUAAUACGUAGGGCGCAAGCGUUAUCCGGAAUUAUUGGGCGUAAAGAGCUCGUAGGCGGUUUGUCGCGUCUGCCGUGAAAGUCCGGGGCUCAACUCCGGAUCUGCGGUGGGUACGGGCAGACUAGAGUGAUGUAGGGGAGACUGGAAUUCCUGGUGUAGCGGUGAAAUGCGCAGAUAUCAGGAGGAACACCGAUGGCGAAGGCAGGUCUCUGGGCAUUAACUGACGCUGAGGAGCGAAAGCAUGGGGAGCGAACAGGAUUAGAUACCCUGGUAGUCCAUGCCGUAAACGUUGGGCACUAGGUGUGGGGGACAUUCCACGUUUUCCGCGCCGUAGCUAACGCAUUAAGUGCCCCGCCUGGGGAGUACGGCCGCAAGGCUAAAACUCAAAGGAAUUGACGGGGGCCCGCACAAGCGGCGGAGCAUGCGGAUUAAUUCGAUGCAACGCGAAGAACCUUACCAAGGCUUGACAUGAACCGGACCGCUGCAGAAAUGUGGUUUCCCCUUUGGGGCUGGUUUACAGGUGGUGCAUGGUUGUCGUCAGCUCGUGUCGUGAGAUGUUGGGUUAAGUCCCGCAACGAGCGCAACCCUCGUUCUAUGUUGCCAGCACGUGAUGGUGGGGACUCAUAGGAGACUGCCGGGGUCAACUCGGAGGAAGGUGGGGACGACGUCAAAUCAUCAUGCCCCUUAUGUCUUGGGCUUCACGCAUGCUACAAUGGCCGGUACAAAGGGUUGCGAUACUGUGAGGUGGAGCUAAUCCCAAAAAGCCGGUCUCAGUUCGGAUUGGGGUCUGCAACUCGACCCCAUGAAGUCGGAGUUGCUAGUAAUCGCAGAUCAGCAACGCUGCGGUGAUAGAUUCCC